AGUAACCUACCCUUGGGAUCGGGAUAACAUUCCGAAAGGAGUGCUAAUACCGGAUAAGACCACAGCCCCUGCGGGGGUCGUGAGAAAAGGACGGGGAUCCGAAAGGACCUGUCGCCGAAGGAUGGGCUCGCGGCCUAUCAGCUUGUUGGUGAGGUAACGGCUCACCAAGGCUAAGACGGGUAGCUGGUCUGAGAGGAUGAUCAGCCACACUGGAACUGAGACACGGUCCAG
rnacentral:rRNA from 1 species